GACAAAAGCAAGUUCUACAGAGAGAGAUCACAUGGUGAGAGAGGCAGCAAGACGGAGACCAAAUUUGCUUUACAAAAUCAUAUCCUCUCAAGAACUAAUCUACCCUGGAAUAACAGCAUUAAUCCCUUCUGAGGAUGGAACUUCCGUGACCUAACAACCUGCACAAGGCUCACCUCUUACAGGCUCUCCCACUUCCACAUUGCCUCCCUGGGGAACAAGGUUCCAGCACAGGAGUCUUUAAGGAACACACUCUAACAACAUCCAAACCACAGCAAUUUGUAUAGCCAGCCUCUCAGCAUUCACUGAGUUCUUGAAGCUAAGAGUGCAAGCCAUCUAUAUGUGUUUGAAGUCCAGAUAUGCUGUUUGAAGUUGAGAUAUGCUGUCUCCAACUUUGCUGCAUCCUGGGCUGGAGGCAAAGGUAAUCCUUUAUGCAACAGAGUGCUUCAUGGCUCAAGAAUAUGGAUGCUGGUAAUUCACAUAUGCCACGGAGAAGCUGUGAAAUGUUUCCUUUAAAUGAAAAGACAUCCUGCUUUCAGAUGUCUGAUCAAAGGGCACUUAAAUAUCUGAUGGUUCAAAAGGACUAACUCUGAAGAAACUCUGACCCCAGGGAUUAUUCUACUCUGCCAUCCCUUGUUGAAAUCUCCUCAUCACUGUGUUGCUCAGGACUUUCUUUCUGACUUGUCCUGGACAAAAGAUGGUGCUGACAAAGGUGUUCAAACUUUGUCCUCAAAACAACUGUAUGCUGUUUUGCCAAAACAAACAGCCCUCCACUCUACAUGAACCUCCUGGACUUGAAUUUGUUCCUUCUCAGACCUAGAGACCCACUCUACCGCCUAACCAUAUCCAAACUCCCACUUCAGCUUCUCUGAUGGUGCCAUGUUGAAUACGGUCCACUGAGUUUCAUGGAUCCCCAUACACACACUGUUAGAAGACACCCUUCCUAGGACUCUGCUUGCCUGUGAUUCUUGCCUCAGUCUCUGAGCAUCAGACACCUUCCUACUAUGAUAGUUGCCCUUAAUAACACUUUUUCUCACUUAAUUUGACUUUUUUUGCUCCUUAACAUGGCAUAAGAUAUCCUUUAGGAUUUGCUUUGGGAGAGGUGAAAUAUAAAAAGUUGUCGAGAAAUGUGAAUAUUUAAUUAAAUGGGAUACUGGAUUACCAAGGAACAAUACUUGGUUCCCUGUUUAAUCCAAAUGACAUUAAGAGAUUUUUAAGGCAGAUGAGAGAAGUAACAAGAUUAUUUUAAAAUCCAACUUUUUUAAGUGAAGACUUUGUUUUCUUUAAUAAUGAAGGACAUGUUAAAGUCAACACCAAGCAUAAGAAAUUAUUCUGAUGAGACCUUGAAUAUUUAUAGUCUGUGAAAAUUACUCAGAAAAUAAAGGAAAGUCUCUUACAAACUUGUAUUGAAAAGAUCACUAGCCAACAAAAUAUAUGAUUUUAAUAGAAAGAAAC
ensembl:lncRNA